GGCAGCUCCCCGCCGGCCGCUGCGCCCGCCGGCCCCGAGCGCACUGAGCGGUCCGCGGCCAUGGCCUUCGGAGGGGAUUCGCGUUCGCCCCCUCCCUCUCGUGCAGAAAGUCAGACAAGUCUAUGAGGAAACUGAGAACUUCAGGAGAGGGGAGGAAAAAACAAACAAACAAAAAACAAAAAACAAAAAAACCGCGAGAGAACAACAACAGCAAACCUGCCUCCGUGUUCGGAUGAUCUCUGGGCUGAUCAGCAGCAGCCAGAGCCUCUCCAGCGGUCUGAUUUUUAUUUUGACUGGGAAGUGUGUGAAACUGAGCCCUAACUUCCCACAAACCCUAGGAUGUGCACUUCUGGGAUUAGCAAUAUGGGGCAUCUGUUGUCACCUCUCCUCUUGAGCCUGGCAGCACUUUUUUCAAAAGACUUCUUUAUGCACCUGAAGAGGAUCUCCCAGAAUCUGGUUCCAUCUGCAAGUUCAGGCUGAGCAUCAGUGGCAUAUAUAAUGAGGUAAAAAUUGAAGUGCUAGAUUGACUUCUACCAUGUGCCUUUAACCUAGUGAAAUUCACUGAUCUUAUAUCUUGCUCCUAUUUAGGAACUACUGUCUCAAUGUUAUGAUGCCACAACUCACUUAGAUAGUUUAUACUUUAUACAGUGAUUGUUUUGAUUUUCUGUACUGCUUAUGUCUUGAUGAGUCUUCCUAUCACAAAAUAAGAGAUCAGAAGUAACAGCUUUGAAGUAUUUGAAUCUAGGCACAUUGCUGAUGAUGAGUGAAGGUCCCUGAGAAGUGCAUGACAGCUCUGUUUCCUGUUCUGCAGGUGAAAACCACUGCUGAGCUUGACGUUGGGAAUUUUAUGCUGAUUGCCUAUGACAUGUAGGCUCUUAGGGUAAAGAGAGGACCUCCAUCAGUCUAGCAGCUUUCAUACACAUGUGUAAACUUGAAAGAUUCUUAAUGCCUAAAAGAGAAGAAAACACCACUGAAGUGUGAGGAAAUCACAAUAAUCCGGUACCUUACUUCUCAUGUAGCCUGGCUGACAUCUGUUGAGCUACUCCCCAAGUAGUUCUCGACUUAAGUGUGGUGCAUGUGAUCUGAUUCCAAUUAAGGGCUGCUUUUCCAGCCUAAGGCAGGAAGUGAGCUUACCUCUUGGUAUUCCCAGGAGCGUACUGACCAUAUUUUACUUGUACCCCUGCCACUCUGUCACAGUGAGAUGAAAAGCGUUGUUUGUUCUUUACUCCCCUCCUCAGUGGCCAGGAUAAUGAAUCUCCUGCAGACUGUCAAUGUCUGCGUCCUCUCCACUCCUGCGAGACACUAAGAAAGAUAAAUGGCACUGUGUAAUGACUGUGUAAGAAUUCCAGUCAUGAUUUGUCUAGGUGGGCAGAGCAGCUCCUGGUGUUACCACCAUCCUCCUGCAGAUCCUAUUUCAGCUGGACUUUGAACUUAGCUUCUGAUGUCUAAACUGGAGCUCUACUCCCACAAAUCUCAGAUUAAGUGAAGUCUUUUAUAAUGUCUUUUCUUGCAUGGUCAUUUCUCAUUACUGCCUAUGUUAGAAGAUAAUGGAUGCUGUAAAUUCUCCUUUAAGAGCACCUGUGUUAGUGAGAAGCUGUGUCCCAGAAAAUGAAAUUCUUCCACUCUGUUAAAUGUUCAAAUUUCAGGCUGCAGAAACCUUCCAAGUAAAAGCUACUCAGUGCAUGGUUCCUGUGUGAGCAAAGUGCUGUGUACUCAGAAGUCAUGUUGUGUGGUUGCCUCUUCCUUAGGUAAACACGUAAAAUAGAUGUGCUAAAUCUACUUUCUGGAUAUUCAAAUCCUUUGUUAUGCAACAGCUGCGAAUCGUUCAUGUGAAUGGAAGUAGCUACUAGUUUAAGCUCACACCUUGGUUAGCAAAUGUAUAAUUCUCAGAAAGGUAGAAAUUCCAACAGCCUCUUCAAAAUUUCUUGUUGAUUUGAGCACUGUAAAGUUUUCUGAGGAAGACUAAAAUAUAAGUCAUUAAUUAUUCUUUCACAUAAUUAUGAUACAUUUAAAUUCUUCAUUUCUAUUUUACCUACAGACAAAAAGGGGUGUUAUAUGUUAGUAAGUGCUCUUCUGCUUGCUCGUAUCACUUCCAUUUCUCUGCUUGGUCAGCACCAUAGCUUGUGUUUAAGUUUGGCCUUUAGUUAAGAGGGAUGUAAAUAGUAAUCUACUAUUUGUUUUUUUCUAUUGCUAUGGAGUUUUUAUUGGAGUAGAGAAAUAGCUUGAUUUUUAUUCUAUUUGCAUGUAACUUUAAUUAUAAAAAUAUUGUUUGGUCUUCCUAUUGGCAUGGGAACAUGUUGCAACAUCAGCACAAAAGAAACUUUUCUCAGUAAGUUUCAAAAACUAGAGGAGGCAUUGUAAGGAGUUGUACUUCUUUCAACACGGGGGUAACAGAAAGCAGACUAAUGUUCACACUGACAAGAAUCUCCUGUGCAAAGUUAUAGCUUGAACAGUGAUUUAAUUAUCAUUGAAAUUAAGAAAUUAAGUAUUUCUUAUCACAAUUAUGAUGGAGCAUUUGUAUGUACGUAUGUACAUCUACACUCUGGGAAGUUACACUCAGCAAAUCCACCUAGUUUGACAAAGAGAAGAAUAUAUCUGGCUUUUAUUCUAUGGUGGAUUGUACAAAAUCAAUGUUAAGAAUCACAUAAAUACUUCUGCACUACUUUGCAGCAGUCUGUUGUCACUCCAGAUUGAAAAGGCAGUGGGCAGUACUGGACCUCCUCUGGUUGAAUGCCAGAUCCAUCCUCUGAUCAGAAGGUAGGUCGUACCUGAGAAUACUGCUGCUCUGUCUGUCCCGAUGAAGCUGAGUUUCUUUACAGUUCAUAUCAGGGCUUCAAUUAAUACCAAAAGGACCACAAGUUUUUAUUUCUUUUUUGUUUAAUCUUCUGAUGAAAUCAUAGUAUGGCCAGUUGAAAAUAAUUGUUGUUUUUUUUAGCACUGGAUUAGGAUUUAGUAAGGUGGAGCUGAAAUAACUCUCUAGGGAGUUUAUUCUCUUUAAAUGCUUUGAGAACUAAUUCUUCACCCUGAGCAGUGGUAAGAUACCUCCUCUAGUCUUUCAUCCCUUUAGUGAGUUUAUGAGAAUUUUUGGUCUUUGCUCUGUUGUUCCACACCCUUAAAUAAUGGGAAACCUUUCCUACUCAGGUCUCAAUCAGCCUGCACACUAAUUAAGCUAAUUGGCAGAACUGUGAUGCAUCCCUAAUUACAGCUGCAGACUUCUUUUUUUUUUUUUAAGAACAACCUUGCUGCAAU
ensembl:lncRNA